rnacentral:tRNA from 1 species
GCCUUCGGGGUAUAGUGGUCAGCACGCUCGACGCGUAACUGAGAGGUCCGUGGUUCAAUUCCCGGCGAAGGCG